rnacentral:rRNA from 1 species
UACGAAGGGGGCUAGCGUUGUUCGGAUUUACUGGGCGUAAAGCGCACGUAGGCGGAUCGUUAAGUCAGGGGUGAAAUCCUGGAGCUCAACUCCAGAACUGCCUUUGAUACUGGCGAUCUUGAGUCCGGAAGAUGUGAGUGGAACUCCUAGUGUAGAGGUGGAAUUCGUAGAUAUUAGGAAGAACACCAGUGGCGAAGGCGGCUCACUGGUCCGGUACUGACGCUGAGGUGCGAAAGCGUGGGGAGCAAACAGG